rnacentral:piRNA from 1 species
CCCUUCUUCAUAUGUCUUCAGCCUGGUGU